rnacentral:rRNA from 1 species
UACGUAGGUGGCAAGCGUUGUCCGGAUUUACUGGGCGUAAAGAGCGCGCAGGCGGCUGGGCAAGUCCGAUGUGAAAGCUUCCGGCUUAACUGGAAAAUUGCAUCGGAAACUGCUCGGCUUGAAGGUGGGAGAGGGUAGCGGAAUUCCCGGUGUAGUGGUGAAAUGCGUAGAUAUCGGGAGGAACUCCAGUGGCGAAGGCGGCUACCUGGCCCACUCUUGACGCUGAGGCGCGAAAGCUAGGGGAGCAAACGGG